AUGAACGCUGGCGGCGUGCCUAAUACAUGCAAGUCGAGCGAACGGACGAGAAGCUUGCUUCUCUGAUGUUAGCGGCGGACGGGUGAGUAACACGUGGAUAACCUACCUAUAAGACUGGGAUAACUUCGGGAAACCGGAGCUAAUACCGGAUAAUAUUUUGAACCGCAUGGUUCAAAAGUGAAAGACGGUCUUGCUGUCACUUAUAGAUGGAUCCGCGCUGCAUUAGCUAGUUGGUAAGGUAACGGCUUACCAAGGCAACGAUGCAUAGCCGACCUGAGAGGGUGAUCGGCCACACUGGAACUGAGACACGGUCCAGACUCCUACGGGAGGCAGCAGUAGGGAAUCUUCCGCAAUGGGCGAAAGCCUGACGGAGCAACGCCGCGUGAGUGAUGAAGGUCUUCGGAUCGUGAAACUCUGUUAUUAGGGAAGAACAUAUGUGUAAGUAACUGUGCACAUCUUGACGGUACCUAAUCAGAAAGCCACGGCUAACUACGUG
rnacentral:rRNA from 1 species